AGACUUUGUGUCAGUCAUACCGUUCUGGGCUCGGUCUCGUAGAUGCUUGCCCGAAUUAACAAAGCAAUUAUGCUAAUCAUACCGCAAGAAAAAAUAAAUAAAUUACACACUCGUAUAAUUAAAUAUCUUUUUUGAGAAUGACUCAUUUCAGCGUUUUAGUAGGCAAUGUCUCCACUUUUAAUGUAUUUAUUUCCUGACGUUAAAAAACAAAUUUUCUUUCAGAUGUACUGUCCAUUUUGUGGAACUGCCGCCAUAAAUUCUGCAGACUUUUGUUGUCAAUGUGACAGAAACAUAAAAUGUGUCCAAGAUCAUGCAAACAAAGCCCAAGAUGAGAGGAACACUACCACUGCAACUCCCGAUGUUCAACCAAGCACCAGCACAGGUGUAGAGUAUUUCAUGAACUUUAGAGCUAUAAAAGAGAGGGAAAGAAAGAAAUUUUUUACCAAGAAGCAUCAGAACAAAACACAGAAGGGAAAUAAACUGAAGAUUAAUGUUGGGCUUAUGAGGAUGCAGGGAGAUUCCCUUAAGACAGUGAGAGGGAAGUUACUUCCAGUUGAGAUUCACCCUGAGUGGGCAUCGGAACAAGUGCUUGCUGCUGCUGUAAAGAAGCAAAAGGAUAUAGGUCAAUAUAGACCUGAGAGAUUGUGCCCAUGUCUUGUUGUAUCCUGAUGCAAGGGAGGUUAAGAACAUCCCAGGAACAGACAUUCCUUUCACAGUGCAAAAGUACAAGGAGGCAAUUGGAAAGCCUUACCAAAGAAUUACGCUUUACAUUUGCCCUGUUGAGGAAUUUGCAAAAAGCUAUAUCCAGUGCAGGUACAUUGACUGAACUACACCAGUCAGUUGAAAGACAUGCAAGCAUCUUGCAAACUGCUGGCUGCUUGCAGUUCCCUGUGACUGUUGAUGACAAAUUGAAAAUUGUAAAGGAGUUCAUUGAUUGGUACAUCAUUUACCGCAACCAUUUCUCUAUUCAAAGAUUCAAGGAUGGCCUUUCAACACUGAACUUCCAGAAUGCUUUGGAGCAGCAUGCUUCCGUCUUCAGGCCAUUUAUGUGUGCAAGAGUGGAACAGCUGACAUCCAAAAUAUUGGAGGAAAUAUUUGAGGUUCAGCUCAGUGAAAAGGGUAGCAGCAGACGACAUGAGGAAACAAGAGUGCUAGGAUUCUGGAGAGACUUUCUCCUUGACACAGAAGAACAAAAAACGGGUCUCUCUCUCCAGGACAUCCUGAUGUUUGCCACCGGCUUGAACACACUACCUCCAUCUUCAAUUCUGCCACCACCAAAACUGAUCUUUCAGGCCACUUCUCGUUUUCCUGUCAGUAGCACCUGCUCCAACACUAUCAAAAUACCAAUGUCCAAGACGUAUCAUCAGUUUAAAGAAAACAUGGACUUUGGGAUUCAAAACUCCCCUGGAUUUGGGCUUUAUUAAGGUCAAAUGCAUAACAACAAAACAAAAUGCUAACUAUUUAACUUGUCAAACCUGUUCAGUUAUGACACUGUUUAGUGUUUGUGUGCGACCUUCAAAUUUGGAUUCUUGUUUGUUUAUAAGUCCGCCAUGUUUUUCAGUUUGAUAUAGUUUUCGACACAUGAUUCCCAACUCUGUGGAUGUGCUAGGCCACACUGUCUCUGGAGGUUCUCAAAAUGUGCCUGAAGGUGUUCAACUCCACAUUGAAUGUU